rnacentral:piRNA from 1 species
UGGUGAAUAGAGUGAGAGAGAUUUGAGC